rnacentral:rRNA from 1 species
AUUGAACGCUGGCGGCAUGCCUUACACAUGCAAGUCGAACGGCAGCACGGGAGCAAUCCUGGUGGCGAGUGGCGAACGGGUGAGUAAAGUAUCGGAACGUGCCCAGUCGUGGGGGAUAACGUAGCGAAAGUUACGCUAAUACCGCAUACGAUCUAUGGAUGAAAGCGGGGGAUCGCAAGACCUCGCGCGAUUGGAGCGGCCGAUAUCAGAUUAGGUAGUUGGUGGGGUAAAGGCUCACCAAGCCGACGAUCUGUAGCUGGUCUGAGAGGACGACCAGCCACACUGGGACGGGGACACGGCCCAGACUCCUACGGGAGGCAGCAGUGGGGAAUUUUGGACAAUGGGCGAAAGCCUGAUCCAGCCAUUCCGCGUGCAGGAUGAAGGCCUUCGGGUUGUAAACUGCUUUUGUACGGAACGAAAAGGCUCUGGUUAAUACCCGGGGCUCAUGACGGUACCGUAAGAAUAAGCACCGGCUAACUACGUGCCAGCCGCCGCGGUAA